AUUGAACGCUGGCGGCAGGCCUAACACAUGCAAGUCGAGCGAGCGGCGGACGGGUGAGUAAUGUAUGGGGACUGCCCGAUAUGGGGGGAUAACUCCUCGAAACGGUAGCUAAUACCGCAUACUACCUCAUAGCCCCUAUGGGAUUAGCGAGUAGGGGAGGUAAUGGCUCCCCUAGGCGACGAUCCCUAGCUGGUCUGAGAGGCUGAUCAGCCACACUGGGACGGAGACACGGCCCAGACUCCUACGGAGGCAGCAGUGGGGAAUAUUGCACAAUGGGCGCAAGCCUGAUGCAGCCAUGCCGCGUGUAUGAAGAAGGCCCUCGGGUUGUAAAGUACUUUUGGCAGAGAAGCGGUAUCUGCAGAAUAAGCACCGGCUAACUACGUGCCAGCAGCCGCGGUAAUUC
rnacentral:rRNA from 1 species